rfam:Exophiala dermatitidis NIH/TT8656 unplaced genomic scaffold supercont1.5, whole genome shotgun sequence.
UUCGUUGAUGAAUGGCACUGGGCGCCGACAGUCACAAAUGUGGCUGGUCAUGACGGAUAUGCCCUGUUGUGGCAGGCCUAGAAAACCUCGCCCACUGAUC